ACCGAAGCUGCGGCAGCGACGCUGAUGCGUUGUUGGGUAGGGGAGCGUUCUGUAAGCCUGUGAAGGUGAGCCGUGAGGGUUGCUGGAGGUAUCAGAAGUGCGAAUGCUGACAUAAGUAACGAUAAAGCGGGUGAAAAGCCCGCUCGCCGGAAGACCAAGGGUUCCUGUCCAACGUUAAUCGGGGCAGGGUGAGUCGACCCCUAAGGCGAGGCCGAAAGGCGUAGUCGAUGGGAAACGGGUUAAUAUUCCCGUACUUGGUGUUACUGCGAAGGGGGGACGGAGAAGGCUAUGUUGGCCGGGCGACGGUUGUCCCGGUUUAAGCGUGUAGGUGUGUGUUCCAGGUAAAUCCGGUUCACUUUAACACUGAGGCGUGACGACGAGGCACUACGGUGCUGAAGCAACAAAUGCCCUGCUUCCAGGAAAAGCCUCUAAGCAUCAGGUAACAUCAAAUCGUACCCCAAACCGACACAGGUGGUCAGGUAGAGAAUACCAAGGCGCUUGAGAGAACUCGGGUGAAGGAACUAGGCAAAAUGGUGCCGUAACUUCGGGAGAAGGCACGCUGACACGUAGGUGAAGUGAUUUACUCAUGGAGCUGAAGUCAGUCGAAG
rnacentral:rRNA from 1 species